rnacentral:rRNA from 1 species
UACGUAGGGCGCAAGCGUUGUCCGGAUUUAUUGGGCGUAAAGAGCUCGUAGGCGGUUUAGUAAGUCAGGUGUGAAAGCUCCAGGCUCAACCUGGAGACGCCACUUGAUACUUCUAUGACUUGAGUUCGGUAGGGGACCAUGGAAUUCCUGGUGUAGCGGUGAAAUGCGCAGAUAUCAGGAGGAACACCGAUGGCGAAGGCAGUGGUCUGGGCCGAUACUGACGCUGAGGAGCGAAAGCGUGGGGAGCGAACAGG